UACGUAGGGUGCAAGCGUUAAUCGGAAUUACUGGGCGUAAAGCGUGCGCAGGCGGUUUUGUAAGUCUGUCGUGAAAUCCCUGGGCUCAACCUGGGAAUUGCGAUGGAGACUGCAAGGCUAGAAUCUGGCAGAGGGGGGUAGAAUUCCACGUGUAGCAGUGAAAUGCGUAGAGAUGUGGAGGAACACCGAUGGCGAAGGCAGCCCCCCUGGGUCAAGAUUGACGCUCAUGCACGAAAGCGUGGGGAGCAAACAGG
rnacentral:rRNA from 1 species